UCGUGUUUGGUCUCCUCGAUCACCUCCUUUUCUGGACGCAAGACAAAACAACACAUUGGGAUUCCACACUUUUUGUGUCAACGCACACAAAAGGCAUCGCUCCCGAUAGCUUGCUUGCAUUGUAGCGUGAAAAUGCACAUUAUUAUGAGAACAUUUCCUCCAUGCAUGCGCCUCUGUGAUGAUUUAUAUCUUGAUGAGAUUACACUAACUCAGUUAUUGGGCUCGCACAUGUCCCCUGUUUGCUUGCUGGCACGAAAACACAUUGUUGUGGUUUAUUCCAAGAUGACUUGAACAAUCUCUUAUGGAGAAAAAAAACGUUCUUUACUCUUGUGGAUUGCACAGGUAAAGCGAACAAAGUGUCCGCUGUGUGUAGGAGCAAUCCAAACACCCCACCCACCCUGACCUCCUGCUUGGCUGAUCUCAACCCUGACACGCAGGAAUCCAGGCAUGAAUUAUACAUGGCAACGUUGUGGCCUUCCAACCCAGACUAAAUAAUGGGCGGCGUGACAACAGCAUAAUGAAGUUUUUGGCAAGCGUCUCGUACGUCUUCAGGGUUCACGGAGAGUGGAAAGAGCAAGUCGGGGCAAGUUGGUCUCUUAGCAACGUUGUGGUAAUGAGAUGAGAGGACAGCAUCCUUUCCCCGAAGAACUCGACCAGAACAACCGUAUUAAUGUGUCCAAUUUGUUCUUUCAUGCCACUGACUGACUGAUUAGGAGGGAGGGGCGGCCUUAAGACGUUCAACAUGCAAACCUCGUGUCGUAUCCAGAAAUUUAAUGGUUGAAAGUAACCACUAGUCUCUAUUUUUAGACAUUUAUAUGGUGCACAUAUGAUUAAAGUUGCUUUAAUCAACUACUUGUAGCUAGGCAGAUCAUUUGGAGCGCCAUUACUGGCAGAAAUUAAAAAAACUCACGUGACUCACGAUAAAAAUAAUCUUUGCAUUUGAAUUUAGGCCAACAAGAGGCAGCAUAGGCAACAUGUUGGAUUAAUUAAUAGCAAGUAUAAUUAAUUUCUAAUUAGACAAUUAAUUGCUAAAUAGACAUUUAUUUAAUUUUCAUAGAUUAUUUUUUUUACUUUAUUUUAGUAUUUUUAUUUUAAACUGUCUCCAUUUUUAAUUCGAUUUUUCUUGGGAGUAGGCUAUGCUUGUUUGUUUAUACUGCAAAGUUUCAUCAUUGCAGUAUUGUUAUUUUAAACUGUGAUGUUUACAUUAAUGAGUUUUUUUUUUUUAGGAGUAGGCUAAGCUUGUUUAUACUAGAAAUGUUCAUCAUUACUAAAAGAAGGUUUAGAAAAGAGGCAUUUUUACCUACGGUGUCUAUCUCAAGCAGCCGCUGGAGGUCGUUGAUGCUCCGGAUUUCGUUGCGGGAGAGCCGCUCCACAAGCUCCCGCGGAAUCGAGGACUCUUGCUGGGUGGAGGGUGAAAGAAAAGUCCGGUGUUUUAUCGCUACGCCGUUUUAUGUUUCUCCCCAACAGAUUCGUCAAUCAAAUCAGCAUAAACUUGAAAAUUUUUAUCAUUUGAAAAAGUUUGGUUAAAUAUUCCAAAUUAAUUUCCGAAUAUGAACCUGCCAUUUUGGGGUGUAAUUACCUCCGCAGCGGCUCGUAAGAUGCAGAAGCAGCCGGCGAGGAGCUGGUAGAGCGCGGGUCUCAUCUCCUCUCAGAUACGCUGGGAAGGCUCCGCGAAGGGGCGAGGGUACACUGACGGAGCCCGGGUGUCGCUCCCUGCUCUCGGUCGGAGCUCAGAACCAUGCCUCGGGAGAACAAUGUCGUCCCAGAAGAAUGGAGUUAGUUAUUCUUGUUUCUUCCUCUUCAAAAUACAAAGAUU